AGUAGGUACUGCUUCGUUUCACAGCUGUCAAAGUUGAGUCUUAGAGUUGCUGCUGGCUCCAAGGUGCACAGCAAGAAGGUGGCUGAGUCAGAUCUGAGACCAGAACUCAAUUACUGAACCACUACACUACCCUCCCCUAUGGGUGUCCCAUCUGUUCCCAUGGUCAGAGCAUCACCCUUGGCAGAGCAACACCUGUUUGCAGUGAACUGCCCUCAGCAUGCAGAGGUAACAGGGCAGGGAGGAAGAUGGCAACGGAGUAGGAUGGAGUGGAUUCCAGCUCCCCUACUUGUGGGUGAAAAUCCUGGCAGAUCUAUAGAGAAGCAGCGCACUAAUCCAUCGGUUAUCCAGCAUUUGUGAAAUUAAAAAAACAGAGAUUGUGACGGACACUGAAACACCAGAAAGCAGAAGGAAACAUCCAGUGUCCCACAAAUGGAGAAUGGAUAAACAGACUGUGGCAUACCCACACAAUGGAAUUCUACACAGCAUUCAAAAGGAAUGAGUGUUGAUAUACCCAACUACAUGCAUGAAUCACAAAGCAUGAAAAAAGCCAGAUUCAAAAGAGCACAUAGAUCAUAGGAUUCCAGGACCAGUUGCUUUAGGGGAAGUCGGCUGCUACCUCACGAGAAUGCUCAAGCAGUUCACAAAGACGCAUGAAAGGGAUGGAACUGAGCUUCCUGGCAAGAGCCACCCCCAUGUGAAUCAUAUUGGAAGUGAGUCCUCUAGCCCCCGUAGUGUCUUCUGAUGGCUGCAAUUCUGACCCAAUUCUCACCUGCAACCUCAUGAGAGAACCCGAACCAGAACCAUCCAACCAAGAUGCUCCUGAAUUCCUGGCCAGUAGAUAUUGUGUGAGAUAAAAAAGUAUUUGUUAUUUUAUGUAUCCAAGUUUGGGGGGUAAUUUGUUAUGCAUCAGUAUGUAACUAAUAUACCAUAUUUCCUGGUAUAAUAUAAGACUCAAUAAAUACUGAAACACCAACCCAAAAGAACCUAUGCACCCC